rnacentral:rRNA from 1 species
AUUGAACGCUGGCGGAAUGCUUUACACAUGCAAGUCGAACGGCAGCACGGACUUCGGUCUGGUGGCGAGUGGCGAACGGGUGAGUAAUGUAUCGGAACGUGCCCAGUCGUGGGGGAUAACGUAGUGAAAAUUACGCUAAUACCGCAUACGAUCUACGGAUGAAAGCGGGGGAUCGCAAGACCUCGCGCGAUUGGAGCGGCCGAUAUCAGAUUAGGUAGUUGGUGGGGUACAGGCCCACCAAGCCAACGAUCUGUAGCUGGUCUGAGAGGACGACCAGCCACACUGGAACUGAGAAACGGUCCAGACUCCUACGGGAGGCAGCAGUGGGGAAUUUUGGACAAUGGGCGUAAGCCGGAUCCAGCCAUUCCGCGUGCAGGAUGAAGGCCCUCGGGUUGUAAGCUGCUUUUGUACAGAACGAAAAGGUUUCUACUAAUACUAGGAGCUCAUGACGGUACUGUAAGAAUAAGCACCGGCUAACUACGUGCCAGCCGCCGCCGUAA